GAUGAACGCUAGCGGGAGGCCUAACACAUGCAAGUCGAGCGGGAUCCCCUUUCGGGGGGUGAGAGCGGCGCACGGGUGAGUAACGCGUAUGCAACCUGCCUUUAACAGGGGAAUAGCCCAUGGAAACGUGGAUUAAUGCCCCAUAUCAUUAUAGUUCCGCAUGGUACUGUAAUCAAAGCUCCGGCGGUUAAAGAUGGGCAUGCGUGACAUUAGCUGGUUGGUAAGGUAACGGCUUACCAAGGCUACGAUGUCUAGGGGUUCUGAGAGGAUGAUCCCCCACACUGGUACUGAGACACGGACCAGACUCCUACGGGAGGCAGCAGUGAGGAAUAUUGGUCAAUGGGCGCAAGCCUGAACCAGCCAUCCCGCGUGAAGGACGACGGCCCUAUGGGUGUGUAAACUUCUUUUCUGCACCAAGAAACGAGAUCUCGUGAGGUCUUCUGACGGUAGUG
rnacentral:rRNA from 1 species